AUUGAACGCUGGCGGCAUGCUUUACACAUGCAAGUCGAACGGUAACAGGCCGCAAGGUGCUGACGAGUGGCGAACGGGUGAGUAAUGCAUCGGAACGUGCCCAGUCGUGGGGGAUAACUACUCGAAAGAGUAGCUAAUACCGCAUACGAUCUAUGGAUGAAAGCGGGGGACCGUAAGGCCUCGCGCGAUUGGAGCGGCCGAUGUCAGAUUAGGUAGUUGGUGGGGUAAAGGCUCACCAAGCCAACGAUCUGUAGCUGGUCUGAGAGGACAACCAGCCACACUGGGACUGAGACACGGCCCAGACUCCUACGGGAGGCAGCAGUGGGGAAUUUUGGACAAUGGGCGCAAGCCUGAUCCAGCAAUGCCGCGUGCAGGAAGAAGGCCUUCGGGUUGUAAACUGCUUUUGUACGGAACGAAACGGCUCUGGUUAAUACCCGGAGCUAAUGACGGUACCGUAAGAAUAAGCACCGGCUAACUACGUG
rnacentral:rRNA from 1 species